UCGGGGUGCACGGAAACAGGGGUUUCCGCAGCUGAGAUUAAACCCGUAAACCUGAUCCGGGCAAUACCGGCGUAGGGAAGUUUAA
rnacentral:ncRNA from 1 species